rnacentral:rRNA from 1 species
AGAUUGAACGCUGGCGGCGUGCUUAACACAUGCAAGUCGAGCGGUAACGCGGGAGCAAUCCUGGCGACGAGCGGCGAACGGGUGAGUAAUGCUUGGGAAUCUGCCCAUUAGUGGGGAACAACCAGCCGAAAGGUUGGCUAAUACCGCAUACGCCCUACGGGGGAAAGCGGGGGAUCGAAAGACCUCGCGCUAAUGGAUGAGCCCAAGUCGGAUUAGCUUGUUGGUAGGGUAACGGCCUACCAAGGCGACAAUCCGUAGCUGGUCUGAGAGGACGACCAGCCACACUGGGACUGAGACACGGCCCAGACUCCUACGGAGGCAGCAGUGGGGAAUAUUGGACAAUGGGGGCAACCCUGAUCCAGCGACGCCGCGUGUGUGAAGAAGGCCUGCGGGUUGUAAAGCACUUUUAGUGGGGAUGAAAAGCUCAGGGUUAACACCUCUGGGUCUUGACCUAACCACAGAAAAGCACCGGCUAACUCUGUGCCAGCAGCCGCGGU